rnacentral:lncRNA from 1 species
GAAGUAUCUUGAAAUUUUACCCCAUUGGAAAUGGGCUGGACUGGCCUAUGGGCGUUUUAUGAGGCGUCUGUGAACAUGGAUAGUGUUUCGGAGAUCCGUAUGUGCCAGGGAGCACACAACAACCGGAAAAUGACAGGGUUGAACAUUCGCCCAAUUUCGACAAAAACCGUUUUAAGUUGCAUCUGCAGACAUGGAUAGUGUUUCGGUGAUCCGUAUGUGCCAGGGAGCUCAAAACAACCGGAAAAUGACAGGGUCGAAAAGUCACCCAAUUUCGACAAAAACCGUGGCGUUUUAAAUAUAAACAAUACUGUAUGUGGAGUUGAGAGACUACGAAGGAGACUUUACAACUAAUAACAAAUUAAGGUAGACAACGAAUCCACAAAUAUCAGCAAAGAAUGUCCGGACUCGAGCGUGAAAGGGCAACAGAACUUAUCAACUAGGCCCUAUUUAUAUAUAGACCAUUAUCAAGUUUAUUUUGAAACAGUGCCGCCAAAUAUUGUCAAAAAUCAAGCAUCCUGCAAAAACACUGGGUAUAAAUGAAAUAAAAUAGGCCUAUAGUGUGAAUUUUACUUUAAAAAAUAUAUUUUCUCUGCAAAAAUCUCAAAAAUAAUGUUAGCAAUAAGUAUUAAUUCUUGUAGGCUUUAUGUUUAUUGUAUUAUUACUAUUAUUAGAGAAAAUAAACCGUAAUAUUGUUGCAAAGAAUAUAGACAUAUGUAAGAUAAUAAGAUAAAACAUUUUGUAGAUUAAAAUCACGUCUAUUGAUUGACAUGUAAUAUAUAUAGGCCUAUAUACUGUAUAAAAUAAAAUGUAUACAUAUAUCUUAA